GAUGAACGCUGGCGGCGUGCCUAAUACAUGCAAGUCGAGCGAACAGAUGAGGAGCUUGCUCCUCUGACGUUAGCGGCGGACGGGUGAGUAACACGUGGAUAACCUACCUAUAAGACUGGGAUAACUUCGGGAAACCGGAGCUAAUACCGGAUAAUAUAUUGAACCGCAUGGUUCAAUAGUGAAAGACGGUUUUGCUGUCACUUAUAGAUGGAUCCGCGCCGCAUUAGCUAGUUGGUAAGGUAACGGCUUACCAAGGCAACGAUGCGUAGCCGACCUGAGAGGGUGAUAGGCCACACGGGAACUGAGACACGGUCCAGACUCCUAAGGGAGGCAGCAGUAGGGAAUCUUCCGCAAUGGGCGAAAGCCUGACGGAGCAACGCCGCGUGAGUGAUGAAGGUCUUCGGAUCGUAAAACUCUGUUAUUAGGGAAGAACAAAUGUGUAAGUAACUAUGCACGUAGUGACGGUACCUAAUCAGAAAGCCACGGCUAACUACGUG
rnacentral:rRNA from 1 species